GACGAACGCUGGCGGCGUGCUUAACACAUGCAAGUCGAACGAAAAGAGGGAAAGAGCUUGCUCUUUCCGGAAUUGAGUGGCAAACGGGUGAGUAACACGUAAACAACCUGCCUUCAGGGUGGGGACAACAGACGGAAACGACUGCUAAUACCGAAUAAGUUCCAAGGGCCGCAUGGCCCAUGGAAGAAAAGGUGGCCUCUACCUGUAAGCUAUCGCCUGAAGAGGGGUUUGCGUCUGAUUAGCUGGUUGGAGGGGUAACGGCCCACCAAGGCGACGAUCAGUAGCCGGUCUGAGAGGAUGAACGGCCACACUGGAACUGAGACACGGUCCAGACUCCUACGGGAGGCAGCAGUGGGGAAUCUUCCGCAAUGGGCGAAAGCCUGACGGAGCAACGCCGCGUGAGUGAUGACGGCCUUCGGGUUGUAAAACUCUGUGAUCCGGGACGAAAAGGCAGAGUGCGAAGAACAAACUGCAUUGACGGUACCGGAAAAGCAAGCCACGGCUAACUACGUG
rnacentral:rRNA from 1 species